CCUACGGGAGGCAGCAGUGGGGAAUAUUGCACAAUGGGGGAAACCCUGAUGCAGCGACGCCGCGUGAGUGAAGAAGUACUUCGUUAUGUAAAGCUCUAUCAGCAGGGAAGAAAAUGACGGUACCUGAGUACGACGCCCCGGCUAACUACGUGCCAGACGCCGCGGUCAUACGUAGGGGGCAAGCGUUAUCCGGAUUUACUGGGUUUAACGGGAGCGUAGACGGAAGUGCAAGUCUGGAGGGAAAGGCGGGGGCCAAACCCCCGGACUGCCAUGGAAACUGUAAGGCUGGAGUGCAGGAGAGGUAAGUGGAAUGCCUAGUGUAGCGGUGAAAUGCGUAGAUAUUAGGAGGAACACCAGUGGCGAAGGCGGCUUACUGGACUGUAACUGACGUUGAGGCUCGAAAGCGUGGGGAGCAAACAGGAUUAGAUACCCGUGUAGUC
rnacentral:rRNA from 1 species